rnacentral:rRNA from 1 species
GAUGAACGCUGGCGGCGUGCCUAAUACAUGCAAGUCGAGCGAACAGAUGAGGAGCUUGCUCCUCUGACGUUAGCGGCGGACGGGUGUGUAACACGUGUAUAAUCUCCUUAUAAGAGUGGUAUAACUUCGGGAAUCCGGAGCUAAUACCGGAUAAUAUCCUGCUCCGCAUGGUUCAAUAGAGAGAGACGGCUUUUCUGUCUCGUAUAGAUGGAUCCGCGCCGCAUUAGCUAGUUGGUAAGGUCAUGGGUUACCAAGGGAAGUAGGCGUAGCCGACGUGAGGGGGGGGUCGGCCGCACUGGAACGGAGACACGGUCCAGGCUCCUACGGGACGCAGCAGUAGGGAAUGUUCCGCAAUGGGCGAAAGCCUGACGGAGCAGGGCCGCGUGAGUGAUGAAGGUCUUCGGAUCGUGAAACUCUGUUAUGAGGGGUGAACAAAUGUGUAAGUAACUAUGCACGUCUUGACGGUAACUGAUAAAAAAGCCACGGCUAACUACGUG